rnacentral:rRNA from 1 species
GACGAACGCUGGCGGCGUGCCUAAUACAUGCAAGUCGAGCGCAGGAAGUCAUCCGAACCCUUCGGGGGGACGUUGACGGAAUGAGCGGCGGACGGGUGAGUAACACGUAAAGAACCUGCCCUCAGGUCUGGGAUAACCACGAGAAAUCGGGGCUAAUACCGGAUGGGUCAUCGGACCGCAUGGUCCGAGGAUGAAAGGCGCUCCGGCGUCGCCUGGGGAUGGCUUUGCGGUGCAUUAGCUAGUUGGUGGGGUAAUGGCCCACCAAGGCGACGAUGCAUAGCCGACCUGAGAGGGUGAUCGGCCACACUGGGACUGAGACACGGCCCAGACUCCUACGGGAGGCAGCAGUAGGGAAUCUUCCACAAUGGACGAAAGUCUGAUGGAGCAACGCCGCGUGAACGAUGAAGGCCCUCGGGUCGUAAAGUUCUGUUGUAAGGGAAGAACAAGUGCCGCAGGCAAUGGCGGCACCUGGACGGUACCUUGCGAGAAAACCACGGCUAACUACGU